rnacentral:rRNA from 1 species
AUACGGAGGGGGCUAGCGUUGUUCGGAAUUACUGGGCGUAAAGCGCGCGUAGGCGGGCUGGUCAGUUGGGGGUGAAAUCCCGAGGCUUAACCUCGGAACUGCCCUCAAUACUGCCAGUCUUGAGUUCGAGAGAGGUGAGUGGAAUUCCUAGUGUAGAGGUGAAAUUCGUAGAUAUUAGGAAGAACACCAGUGGCGAAGGCGGCUCACUGGCUCGAUACUGACGCUGAGGCGCGAAAGCGUGGGGAGCAAACAGGAUUAGAAACCCCGGUAGUCC